UUCCCUUUUUGGGAAUCAUUAUCUUUGAAAUUCUCGAAUAUACUGGUUUAACUGUAUGCCUGUAUUUCAGGCAUUUCUUUCAUAGGAACUGAGAACCAUUUCUAGAGUACCAUUUGAGAUUCAAUAUAUAUUGCAUGUAUUUAAUGAAUGUACAUGUGUAAAAUAUAGAAUAAAAUCACACAUUUUAAGAAAAAGCAAUAAAAAGAUUAAAUCAAUCAUAAAAUAAAUCCUAAAGCAUCAAUCUCCUAAUAACAGCUACAGUAUAAAUGACCACUGUCUGAUUUAGGAAUCUGGUCAUCUGAUUCUAGGUUUGGAAGUGUCUCUUUUGAAUUUACAAGGAACUGUUUUCGACAGAAAUGACAAGUCCGGGUGUAGUUCUGGUCUCCCUGUUUGCUCAGCAAGGGAUGUUUUUUCCCAGCAGUUCCAAAUUUAUUAUCUUCAAUAUCAGUCUUCAAUAUUAAUAUAUAAAAAAUAUCAAAAUAUCAUUAUCUUCAGUAUUCUGUAUCUUCUGUGGUACACUAUAACACAAGUGUGACCCCCUCCUGGCCCAAAAGCUGCUUGACCCACUCUGUGAGCGUGUGGGAGACGUGCAUGGGGAUUGUGGAAAAGCAAGAGGAACUGCAAAAAUGAGCAAUUCUGAUAGCACUGAAGGCCAGCAGAGCCAAGCAGAGGGCAUCUGACAUCAUUAGGAGAUUCAGGACUCUUUCCUUGUGUGCAAGCAGAAACCAGCGUGAAUAUUUUUUCCUAUAACUCGGUAAAGCUCAGACACAGCAAGCCUUGCUAAAAUCAAAAGUUCUGUGUCUGUGAAUUGAGAGCUCCAGUAAACCAGAGCUAUCUUAUCCCUCCGGCCCACAUGAAAGCUACACUCCAAAUCUCCAUAGCCCACCGCUAUUAUAUUUUGUGUGGAAUUAGGUUACUGGCCUAAUAUUGCUUCUUUGCAGCCAACUGUGGGCCAAGAAAAGGAGAGAGAGAGACUCAGUCCAUAUUAAUCCUUUGUUUUCUGCCAGCUUCUGGAAGAUACUGUGCGCUCUAUAUUUGGAGUUUUCUUUCUUUAGAAAACCCGUCUGUUACCAGCUUCCAGGGAGCCCUUUUCUCCAGCCGUACUGCUGCAGUUUGGCUUAGGCCUCGAUUUUGAUCUCCUGUGCUUCAAAGGACAGCUGUGCCAUUUCUUUUUAACAACUGAAAGCCAUGGAAAAGUGCUCGAUGGUUAUCUGUGGAAUUGUCAUAGGUUUAAAGGAGAGGUUUUUGCUAUUAGCAGAAUUAAAGUUGUCUGUCAGCAGAAGCAUUUAACACGCAGCGAUAACAAGAUCUGAACAUAAAGAGCAUGAAGCAGAAGUAACAUAUCUCCUACGGUGGCAUCCCCGAUGACAUCACUUGCACAGAGGAGGACUAGUAGACAUCUCACAGGAACACUGCAGGUGUUAAUUAAAAAUGCUCAGAAGAUGCAUGGAAACAUUCGGGCUGAAAAAAUGUGUAAAAGCUCUCCUAUAAAUAUUGUUCUUAUUUUCUAUAUCAAGAUACUGCAUCUCCAGAGGCUGCCACAGUGUUAAAAAGAUAGGGCGAAAUCAUAGCAUGAAGUUGCCAGCUUCCAGAGAGCCAGAAGGUGAAGCUGUGCAUUGGUUCCAGCGCUCGGAGGCGAAGGCUGCCAGCAGUGAGCACAGUCUGCUCAGACGUCUGAAGCUUUACCAGAGCUCUUCGUGGUGUGGUUUGGCAAUAGGUACCACUAAAUCAGAGACAUGGACAUCGAUACAGUUGGCUCCAUAAUUGCAAACAGCCGUAAAUCCAUUUAAGCUAAUCCAUGUACCAACUGAAAUAAAAUCUGUAAUCUCCCCU
ensembl:lncRNA